CAGCCGCCGCGGGAAUACGAAGGGGGCUAGCGUUGUUCGGAAUUACUGGGCGUAAAGCGCACGUAGGCGGAUACUUAAGUUAGGGGUGAAAUCCCAGGGCUCAACCCUGGAACUGCCUUUAAUACUGGGUAUCUUGAGUUCGAGAGAGGUAAGUGGAAUUCCGAGUGUAGAGGUGAAAUUCGUAGAUAUUCGGAGGAACACCAGUGGCGAAGGCGGCUUACUGGCUCGAUACUGACGCUGAGGUGCGAAAGCGUGGGGAGCAAACAGGAUUAGAUACCCCUGUAGUCCCUGUCUCUUAUAC
rnacentral:rRNA from 1 species